GACGAACGCUGGCGGCGUGCCUAAUACAUGCAAGUAGGACGCAGUUGCGAACGGGUGAGUAACGCGUAGGUAACUACCUAUUAGAGGGGGAUAACUCUUGGAAACGAUAGCUAAUACCGCAUACUAGUAGAUGGACCUGCGUUGUAUUAGCUAGUAGGUAGGGUAAUGGCCUACCUAGGCAACGAUACAUAGCCGACCUGAGAGGGGGAUCGGCCAAAAUGGGACUGAGAAACGGGCCAGACUCCUACGGGAGGCAGCAGUAGGGGAACUGCGGCAAAGGGGGGAACCCUGGCCAAGCAACGCCGCGGGAGUGAAGAAGGUUUUCGGAUCGUAAAGCUCUGGUGUUAAGGAAGCGGUACUUAACCAGAAAGGGACGGCUAACUACGUGCCAGCAGCCGCGGUAAUUC
rnacentral:rRNA from 1 species